rnacentral:rRNA from 1 species
GGAAACGGGGUCUAAUACCGGAUAAUACUCUGUUCCGCAUGGAACGGGGUUGAAAGCUCCGGCGGUGAAGGAUGAGCCCGCGGCCUAUCAGCUUGUUGGUGGGGUAAUGGCCUACCAAGGCGACGACGGGUAGCCGGCCUGAGAGGGCGACCGGCCACACUGGGACUGAGACACGGCCCAGACUCCUACGGGAGGCAGCAGUGGGGAAUAUUGCACAAUGGGCGAAAGCCUGAUGCAGCGACGCCGCGUGAGGGAUGACGGCCUUCGGGUUGUAAACCUCUUUCAGCAGGGAAGAAGCGCAAGUGACGGUACCUGCAGAAGAAGCGCCGGCUAACUACGUGCCAGCAGCCGCGGUAAUACGUAGGGCGCAAGCGUUGUCCGGAAUUAUUGGGCGUAAAGAGCUCGUAGGCGGCUUGUCACGUCGGAUGUGAAAGCCCGGGGCUUAACCCCGGGUCUGCAUUCGAUACGGGCUAGCUAGAGUGUGGUAGGGGAGAUCGGAAUUCCUGGUGUAGCGGUGAAAUGCGCAGAUAUCAGGAGGAACACCGGUGGCGAAGGCGGAUCUCUGGGCCAUUACUGACGCUGAGGAGCGAAAGCGUGGGGAGCGAACAGGAUUAGAUACCCUGGUAGUCCACGCCGUAAACGUUGGGAACUAGGUGUUGGCGACAUUCCACGUCGUCGGUGCCGCAGCUAACGCAUUAAGUU